rnacentral:rRNA from 1 species
CCGACGGUGAGAGGCGAAAGCUGGGGGAGCAAACCGGAUUAGAUACCCGGGUAGUCCCAGCUGUAAACGAUGCGCGUUGGGUGUAUCAGUGACCACGAGUCACUGAGGUGCCGAAGAGAAAUCGUGAAACGUGCCGCCUGGGAAGUACGGUCGCAAGGCUGAAACUUAAAGGAAUUGGCGGGGGAGCACCACAACAGGUGGAGCCUGCGGUUUAAUCGGACUCAACGCCGGAAAUCUCACCAGAUAAGACAGCUGAAUGAUAGUCGGGCUGAAGACUCUACUUGACUAGCUGAGAGGAGGUGCAUGGCCGUCGUCAGUUCGUACUGUGAAGCAUCCUGUUAAGUCAGGCAACGAGCGAGACCCACGCCAACAGUUGCU